CAUGCCGUAAACGAUGAUUGCUAGGUGUGGGGGGACUGACCCCUUCCGUGCCGGAGUAAACACAAUAAGCAAUCCACCUGGGGAGUACGACCGCAAGGUUGAAACUCAAAGGAAUUGACGGGGGCCCGCACAAGCAGUGGAGUAUGUGGUUUAAUUCGAAGCAACGCGAAGAACCUUACCAGGUCUUGACAUCCAUCUAACGAAGUAGAGAUACAUUAGGUGCCCUUCGGGGAGAGAUGAGACAGGUGG
rnacentral:rRNA from 1 species